rnacentral:rRNA from 1 species
UAAUUAUUUUAAUUAAAUUUAAAUUUUUAAUAAAAAUUCUGAAAAGAAAAAUUAUUAAUUUUUACAAAGUAAUAUUAUUUACCUUUAGUAUCAGGGCUAAUUAAAAUUUAUAAAUAUCUUAUACUCCUGAAAAGAAAAGAUCUAUUUUUUUAAAAUAAAUUAUGUUUUAAUAUAAUAAAAAUAAAUUAAUAGAAAUUAAACUUUAACCGAAUUUCUUGAUACCCGGUAUCUAAUCCUAUAACAAUUUAAUUUAAACAAUAAAUAGUAAAAGCUAUUUAUUAAUAAUAACCUAUUCACUUCUUCUCCCGCAAGAAUUAAAAUUUUUCAUAUAAAAAUUAUAAUUAAAUUUUAAUAAAAAUUAUCCAUUUAUCCUAAUUAGAUUAACCUAACACUAAAAAAUUAUAAUUAAAUAAGUAUUCCAAUUAAUUAAAUUUUAAGAAUUAAGCUAAAUAAAAGAUGACUGUUUAACAAAAACAUUUUUUUACAAAUAAUUUAAAAUAAAACCUGCUCAAUGAAUAUUUAAAUAGCCGCAGUAAUUUAACUGUGCUAAGGUAGCAUAAUCAUUAGUCUCUUAAUUAGGGACCAGAAUGAACGGUUUAACAUUCUUUUCACUUUUUUAAAUAUAUUUAUAUAAAUUAUACUAAAUAUAAAAAUAUAUUUAUUUAAAAACUAGACGACAAGACCCUUUCAAACUUUACUUAAGUUAAGCUGGGGAAGCUAUUUAAUUAAAAUCUUAAAAAAUUAAUAAAUAAACAGAACUAAAAAAACUAAUUUUUUGAAAAAGUUACUGAAGGGAUAACAGCAUAAUAUAUUUAUAUAGCUCGUAUUUAAAAAUUAGUUUAUGACCUCGAUGUUGAAUUAUUUUACUUUUAAGCGCAAGAGUCUAAAAAGUAGGUCUGUUCGACCUUUAAAUAUUUACAUGAUUUGAGUUCAAAUCGGCGUAAGCCAGAUUGGAUUCUAUCUAUUCCUUUAAUUUUCUUUUAGUACGAAAGGGCCAAAGAAUUGUUAAUUCAUAAUA